rnacentral:lncRNA from 1 species
AGGGUUGCUUCUGCAGUUUGCCUUGGAGUCUGGGCUGUGGGAAAGGCUGCUGCGUCCUGGUGAGGACACUGCGUUUCUUUCAGACUUUGAAGAUCUGUCGUUUUAGAAAAGUGGCUGCCUCUGUCACCAGCCCCAUGGUUACUGUCCUUUAGUGUGACUGUCAGGAGGUGUUUCUCAGUCCUUCGUUGUAAGAAUGUAGAUGCCGGUUGCACCUUCUGUUGUCUUGGAAGAGACUGCAGUGCUUGGCUGGAAAAUAAGCUGCUCGGGACUCCUCUGAGAAGCCAAAGUGAAGCUCAGAGAUGGAAAAUAACUGGGAGAUGAAACAGGAAGCUCUAUGACACACUUGAUCGAAUAUGACAGACACCGAAAAUCACGACUCAGCCCCCUCCAGCACCUCUACCUGUUGCCCGCCGAUCACAGCCGGAAUGCAGCUGAAAGAUUCCCUGGGGCCUGGUUCCAACCGCCCACUGUGGACUCUGAGGCCUCUGCAUUUGCGGGUGGUCUGCCUGUGAUAUUUUGGUCAUGGGCUGGUCUGGUCGGUUUCCCAUUUGUCUGGCCAGUCUCUAUGUGUCUUAAUCCCUUGUCCUUCAUUAAAAGCAAAACUAAA